rnacentral:rRNA from 1 species
AUAUCAAUAAGCGGAGGAAAAGAAACUAACAAGGAUUCCCCUAGUAACUGCGAGUGAAGCGGGAUGAGCUCAAAUUUAAAAUCUGGCGUCUUCGGCGUCCGAGUUGUAAUUUAGAGAAGCGUUUUCCGCGCCGGACCGUGUACAAGUCUCCUGGAACGGAGCGUCAUAGAGGGUGAGAAUCCCGUCUUUGACACGGACCCCCGGUGCUCUGUGAUACGCUCUCGAAGAGUCGAGUUGUUUGGGAAUGCAGCUCAAAAUGGGUGGUGAACUCCAUCUAAAGCUAAAUAUUGGCGAGAGACCGAUAGCGCACAAGUA